GAGGCAGGCAGGGGCGUGGCGGGGCGGGCUGCGCUUUGUUCCCAACGAGCGUUCCGCCAUGGCGGCCCUGUGGCCGCAGGGAGCGUGGCUGCGGUAUAUGCGGGCAUAAAAUACCAGCUUUCGGUCUUUAGCAGUCGCAUAACUGUGCGUUUGCAGUGACGCGCGGCGGAGAAGUCUGCCCUUUUGUCGCCGCAUGAGAUCAUUCUCCACAGGGAAAUGUGAAUUCUGCUUGACAGAAUAUGACAUCAUUGCGUUAACUCGACUAGGAUGAGGCAAUUCCUAGCCAUUUGAAUCAGCGUCGUCUUGCAGGGAGCAUUGCUGUCACCCUGACUGGUGCUUUAGAGCAGAAAGCAUGCAUUUGCAUGCCUAGCAAGGAAACAGGUCUCUCUUUGUGGAUGUCUCUUGCUUUUUAGGCAAGUGCAAGUGACUUGGUGCACUAAGGCAUUCAGAAACUCACAAAUGUUAAAGGAGAUCUCCAACAUAUGAUAUAGUUCUCAAGUCUGGGAUUUUUUUAUGAACCAUAUUUCUUAAUUACGUCAGUGCUUCAAGAUACAGGGAAACAGUAUCCAGAAUAACCUUGAAGAUCUUUUGGAGCUACUACAAUUAGGGUGGUGAGGCGCUGGCACUGCUGUCCAGAGCUGUGGGUGGCUCCAUCCCUCGAAG